rnacentral:rRNA from 1 species
UGGGGAAUAUUGCACAAUGGGCGCAAGCCUGAUGCAGCAACGCCGCGUGAGGGACGACGGCCUUCGGGUUGUAAACCUCUUUUAGUAGGGAAGAAGCGAAAGUGACGGUACCUGCAGAAAAAACGCACCGGCUAACUACGUGCCAGCAGCCGCGGUAAUACGUAGGGUGCGAGCGUUGUCCGGAAUUAUUGGGCGUAAAGAGCUCGUAGGCGGUCUGUCGCGUCUGCUGUGAAAACCCGAGGCUCAACCUCGGGCCUGCAGUGGGUACGGGCAGACUAGAGUGCGGUAGGGGAGAAUGGAAUUCCUGGUGUAGCGGUGGAAUGCGCAGAUAUCAGGAGGAACACCGAUGGCGAAGGCAGUUCUCUGGGCCGUAACUGACGCUGAGGAGCGAAAGCGUGGGGAGCGAAACAGGAUUAGAUACCCUGGUAGUCCACGCCGUAAAACGUUGGGCGCUAGAUGUGGGGACCAUUCCACGGUUUCCGUGUCGCAGCUAACGCAUUAAGCGCCCCAGCCUGGGGAGUACGGCCGCAAGGCU